UACAGAGGGUGCGAGCGUUAAUCGGAAUUACUGGGCGUAAAGCGUGCGUAGGCGGUUCGUUAAGUCCGUUGUGAAAGCCCUGGGCUCAACCUGGGAAUUGCAGUGGAUACUGGCGAGCUAGAGUACGGUAGAGGAUGGUGGAAUUCCCGGUGUAGCGGUGAAAUGCGUAGAGAUCGGGAGGAACACCCGUGGCGAAGGCGGCCAUCUGGACCAGUACUGACGCUGAGGCACGAAAGCGUGGGGAGCAAACAGG
rnacentral:rRNA from 1 species